rnacentral:lncRNA from 12 species
AUGUAUAUAUGCACAUAUAAAGGUUAUAUACGCACACACAUCCUCUCACACACAUGUACAUUCACACCCAUCCUGGUGUCUGAAGAGCUGCUUCUGUUCCCAUCCAAGGCUAACCACAUCUACUGGAUAUUGAUUGCUCUCCUCUGCCCUGUACCUCAUUCCUUCCUGGCCUGGUGGUCACAGCCCCAUAAUUGUUGUGAGAGAAUGAAGAAGAGCUGCCUCUUCAUCCAGAGGCCCUCCAUUCCACUGGCAUUCCUGAGCAGUGACGUUCUGGUGGAGUCACAAGGGAGAAGAUUCAGAGCGUCGGAGAGGAGGAUGUUCUCCUCUACUUUGGAGUCAAGAGGAGCAGCAGCUAUCCAGAUGGUUUGGAGAUGUUUUGAGAGAAGGCGAGGCAUUGUUAGAAGAAGUGGGAACGCAGAAAAAAAUGAACAGAGUGACCUUGAUGGUUUGGGGUGGCAUGUUGUCUCCAUCUCUUCUGGGAAGUGGUCUUUUUCUGUGGUGCAUGAUCCCAACGGGCAGCGCCACAAGACAUUUGCUGAUGAACCUCGCCCAGCUUUGUUCACUCUACACUUCCCUCGUCAUACAGCCAAAUGCUAUUCUUACAUAUUUUGGUAA